UUCACAUUUCUUUUGCUUCUAACCUAAAUUUUUCAUCCCUUUAAUACAAACCCUAGCCGUCUAUCACUCCAAAUGUAUCUGAAAUCAUAAUCUUUAUCAUUCCUUUCCCUUUCGAUUCAAAAUUCGCUUUAAUCUGAAUUUUCUUCAACGAUUCAUAUCGACUCAGCGAUAUCUUCGAUCCUUACGUAUUGGAAUCAAUAAUGACCCGUCGACUGUUCGUACUUCAGAGGCGAACCAGAGUUAGAUUGCUUGUCAAGUUUCACGAGGAAUAGCAAGCAGUUUAUGAUUUGAGCGUUUGGUCGAUCUCCAUUUCUUCAUUCCCGGAGGUUUUUAUUUUAUUUUCAGAAUAAAAGAGUCGAACUAUUUUAAACUCUUAGACCG